rnacentral:rRNA from 1 species
CCUACGUGCGGCAGCAGUGAGGAAUAUUGGUCAAUGGGCGCGAGCCUGAACCAGCCAAGUAGCGUGAAGGAUGACUGCCCUACGGGUUGUAAACUUCUUUUAUAAAGGAAUAAAGUGCAGCACGUGUGCCUUUUUGUAUGUACUUUAUGAAUAAGGAUCGGCUAACUCCGUGCCAGCAGCCGCGGUAAUACGGAGGAUCCGAGCGAUAUCCGGAGUUAUUGGGUUUAAAGGGAGCGUAGAUGGGUUGUUAAGUCAGUUGUGAAAGUUUGCGGCUCAACCGUAAAAUUGCAAUUGAUACUGGCAGUCUUGAGUACAGUUGAGGUAGGCGGAAUUCGUGGUGUAGCGGUGAAAUGCUUAGAUAUCACGAAGAACUCCGAUUGCGAAGGCAGCUUACUAAACUGUCACUGACACUGAUGCUCGAAAGUGUGGGUAUCAAACAGGAUUAGAUACCCCUGUAGUC